rnacentral:rRNA from 1 species
GCGGCAAACGGGUGAGUAAUAUCUGGGAAUCUACCCAAAAGAGGGGGAUAACUACUAGAAAUGGUAGCUAAUACCGCAUAAAGUUGAAAGACCAAAGUGGGGGACCUUAAUAAGCCUCAUGCUUUUGGAUGAGCCCAGACGAGAUUAGCUUGUUGGUAAGGUAAAAGCUUACCAAGGCUACGAUCUCUAGCUGGUCUGAGAGGAUAACCAGCCACACUGGAACUGAGACACGGUCCAGACUCCUACGGGAGGCAGCAGUGGGGAAUAUUGCACAAUGGGUGAAAGCCUGAUGCAGCUAUGCCGCGUGUAUGAAGAAGGCCUUACGGUUGUAAAGUACUUUCAGCGGGGAGGAAAGGAAUAAAACUAAUAAUUUUAU